AAUUCUGGUCGCCUUUAGGGAUCUACAGCUGUUAUUACCUAACACCUAAAAUGAUUUCUUGGCGUUUAGUAAGUGGCAGUGCGCAGGCCACCACCAGCUACCUGAGUCAACAACAUUGAAGUCUGAGGCAAUCCUGUGCAGCGAUCAGGAUCAGCGGCUGCGCAAGACGGGAAAAGAGUGGAUGGUGUUGUUGCUGGGACUGUGUAGAGAGGCGAAUGAAAGGAUGAUUGAGGCGGUGAAAGAGUUUCUGGAGAGAAUGUGGCGUGCCAGGUGUAUGAACAAUUAGGAUAGAGGAUGCUGUUCGUUUCUCUUUUAUUUUCCCUUUCUACAGGAGUUGCCGAUCCAAAGGCCUGGCUCAGGAGUGAUCCUGUGCCAUCUGUACCAUCAAGAUCAAGAUCAGAAAAGAGCUUGGCCUCAGCUGAGUUAGCCAGUUGUCAGUUUGUUUACAUCCAAAGAAGAGGGAGAUGGCAGACACACAGUGGUCUUCUAGGAAAGCCUCAGGAACACACUGGUGGUCGAGUGCCACAAAAUAAGAAAGCAGAGCCAAGAAAUGCGUGAAGGAAGGCAGGAGAGUGACCGAAGAGGCGACUCAGAGCGUGCAGUAACUCAGGAACACCAGCAGACCUCCUGCCUGGCUGCCACCACCGCGGCCAGCCCCCAGACGCCCCACCACGCCAGCAGGGGCCUCUCCGGCACGGGACAGUCUGAUCGGCUGACCGUCACUGGUACCAGGCAGAGUCCAGGCUGCACGCCCUGCUCGCCACCAACCAAUCUUGUUGUGUCCAUGGCGUGUGCUGGUGGGAGUGGUGCUGUGGUGGAGGCCGUGAGGCCGGGCAGCAGCAUGAGUGGCCAGCAGCAGCAGCAGAAGCAGCAGCCAGCCUCAGGUGUGGGGAGGCGCAGGCAUGGUGGCAAGAAUCACCUGGAGGCAGGCAGCUCUGUCCACAGAGGAGGGAGCAAGUUUGAGUGCCAGCAGUGUGACAAAACUUUUUUAUCCAGACAAGGCCUUAAAUACCACACCCUGACACACAGUGGUGUUAGAAAUUAUGAGUGUGGUGAGUGUGGCAGGAAAUUUACCCAAAAGUCUCAACUCACAACACACACCCUGACACACAGUGGUGUUAGAAAUUAUGAGUGUGGUGAGUGUGGCAGGAAAUUUAUCCAAAAGUCUAGCCUCACCACACACACCCUGACACACAGUGGUGUUAGAAAUUAUGAGUGUGGUGAGUGUGGCAGGAAAUUUAUCCAAAAGUCUAACCUCACCACACACACCCUGACACACAGUGGUGUUAGAAAUUAUGAGUGUGGUGAGUGUGGCAGGAAAUUUAUCCAAAAGUCUAGCCUCACCACACACACCCUGACACACAGUGGUGUUAGAAAUUAUGAGUGUGGUGAGUGUGGCAGGAAAUUUAUCCAAAAGUCUAACCUCACCACACACACCCUGACACACAGUGGUGUUAGAAAUUAUGAGUGUGGUGAGUGUGGGAAGAAAUUUACCCACAAGGCUUCCCUCAUCAGACACACCCUGACACACAGUGGUGUUAGAAAUUAUGAGUGUGAUGAGUGUGGGAAGAAAUUUACCCAGAAGUCUUCCCUCACCACACACACCCUGACACACAGUGGUGUUAGAAAUUAUGAGUGUGGUGAAUGUGGCAGGAAAUUUAUUACAAAAUCUGACCUCACCACACACAUCCUGACACACAGUGGUGUUAGAAAUUAUGAGUGAGAUGAGUGUGGCAGGAAGUUUACCAGAAAGUCUCACCUCAGCAGACACAUCCUGACACACAGUGGUGUUAGAAAUUAUGAGUGUGAUGAGUGUGGCAGGAAGUUUACCAGAAAGUCAACCCUCACCAAACACAUUCUGACACACAGUGGUGUUAGAAAUUAUGAUUGUGGUGCCAGGCAGAGUCCAGGCUGCACGCCCUGCUCGCCGCCAACCAAUCUUGUUGUGUCCAUGGCGUGUGCUGGUGGGAGUGGUGCUGUGGUGGAGGCCGUGAGGCUGGGCAGCAGCAUGAGUGGCCAGCAGCAGCAGCAGCAGCAGCAGCUAGCCUCAGGUGUGGGGAGGUGCAGGCAUGGUGGCAAGAAUCACCUGGAGGCAGGCAGCUCUGUCCACAGAGGAGAGAGCAAGUUUGAGUGUCAGCAGUGUGACAAAACUUUUGUAUCCAGACAAGGCCGUAAGUACCACACCCUGACACACAGUGGUGUUAGAAAUUGUGAGUGUGGCGAGUGUGGGAAGAAAUUUAUCUGCAAGUCUUACCUCUCCAGACACACCCUGACACACAGUGGUGUUAGAAAUUAUGAGUGUGAUGAGUGUGGGAAGAAAUUUACCCACAAGUCUAACCUCACCACACACACCCUGACACACAGUGGUGUUAGAAAUUAUGAGUGUGAUGAGUGUGGGAAGAAAUUUACCCACAAGUCUUACCUCACCACACACACCCUGACACACAGUGGUGCUAGAAAUUAUGAGUGCAAUGAGUGUGGGAGGAAGUUUACCAAAAAGGCUUCCCUCACCAGACACACCCUGACACACAGUGGUGUUAGAAAUUAUGAGUGUGAUGAGUGUGGCAGGAAAUUUAACCGCAAGUUUUCCCUCAACACACACACCCUGACACACAGUGGUGUUAGAAAUUAUGAGUGUGAUGAGUGUGGCAAAAGAUUUCCUACCAUUUCUCGUCUCAAUAAACAUACCUUCAGACACACUGGCUUGAGGGAGUUCAAGUGUGAUGUUUGUGGCAAGUGUUUCAAGACAAAGGGUGAUAUUGCCAGCCACAUGAGGGUCCACUUCUGAGGUGGUGUGUUGUGUGUGGGGCCACACCCAUGCCUGUGGUGGUGGCGGUGGUGGUGGUGUGAGGGAGUAACAGCCCCAGCAGUUGUUUUGUUGGCAGUGCAGGUGUGACCUUCAAUAAAUGUGUGUGUAUAACAUAACGCCAAGUUCUUUUCCCUUUUGAGUGGUGGUGUGUGAGUUCCCUGUGUUUGGUGUUUGGUGUACAGUCGUGGUGGCCACAAGCACCGCCCCCAACACUUGCUUCACUGUAUCUGAGCAGCCGCGUCCCUCACCACCCUGCCAGCCUGUCUUGCGUGCACUGGGUGUGCCUGAGCCGUCGUGCAGACGCUGGGGCACGGCCGUGGCAGUCUUCGGCAAGCACGGGCGUCUGGCGUGGUGGUGUAAGAAUGCACGUCCGUGUCUUUUGUAUCAGUUAGGAAGAGCAGGGGACCCAGCACAGGGCCCUGGGGCCCCCUGCCAUGCACCUUCACUCUGCUGGACGCUGCUGCAUGUACUAUUGUGCCUCUACAUGCUGCACCUGCUGGAGGUGUUUCAGCGGUACAAGGACUGUGGCGAGGGCGACACAGGCAGAAUUCUCAGGAUACAAAAAGACAUGUUAUCAAUGUCUGUCAUAUUUCUCUACUCACUUCUUCACUUUGGUGGCCAAGAACACAUUACACUGUACAGUCUUGCUGCUGUAAUGCCAACACACUCUAGCAAAAAAUAAAUAAAUAAAUAAAAAAAACUUCAGUAGCCUGGGAAGCAAAAUACAUGAAGAAAAGGGGAAGUGACAACAGAAAGAAAAAAAAAAGGAAAACAAAACUGCUGAACAAAAAAAAGUAUUGGAAAAAAAAAAAAUCAUUUUGACAGCAAAACACACACACACACACACACACACACACACACACACACACAGUGAAUGUAACAUGCACACAAUUAGAAUGUAACCAAACUAAGAUAAAUUAUUUGAUAAGGCAGAAGUCAAACACCAGUGACACACACACACACACACACACACACACACACAGCAAGGAUGUUUACCACCAACAAUUAAGGUAAAGCCCAGACACACUAAUUAAUUGUUAUAACACAGUCAUUUAAGUUUUGUUAUUAUGAAGUGGUUAGUUACCAUUGUUGCCUGUACAGGAGGUCCCAACACUCCAAGGUAACACAAAUAACUUUACAAAUUAUUUGUCAAUCAGAAGAGAGAAAAAUAAUGUGAAAACCUUCAUUGUUAUUUAGAAGAUAACUUCAAUAAAAGUCAGUGUGGUCACCAAGGAAUCUCUCCAGUGCCUUGUUGGCCUCUGGAAAAUAUUGCCAAGCAAAGCAAGGCCAGAACUAUUUGGGGCUAACAAUGACUGCUGCCAGAUUAUCUUUUUAUUUUUUAUUUAUUUUUUUUUGUAUUACAUUAAUAACAACCAAGUCAAAACUAAGUUGAGCAAUAAACUAAAUCAAAGCAAAAGUAUAUCAACUAUGAACUUAAAAAAACAACAUUGCAAAAUUUAAUUAAACCUUUUCAUCGAAACAGAGGAAGAGACACAUCAAUUAAAAACACUUCCCUGUGAAACUCUCUCUCUCUCUCUCUCUCUCUCUCUCUCUCUCUGUUUCCUUGUUCGUGAUUCACAUUGUUAUGUCCAGCAUUACUUCACAUUUCUCACACGUUAUUUGUUACUGUAGGUAAAGCGUAUGCGCCUCACGCCAUUGUUCCUUGGUAAUCACGAAUGAAAUGUUGAGCAGUUUUCUAUUUGCAAGAAGACGUGUGGUGUGUGUAAUUAUCAGUACUCAGUGCUACAUGAAGCACCAAAGCCGAUGCUCACUUGUUAGUAGAGUAAGGUUAACCCGCUGGUCGCCUGCGGGCCACACUCACGGCCAAGUGGCGCUCAAAGAGGGGCAGGAUGGUGACCGAGGUAAAUACUUUAAUUUUGUGGUAAAAACUGAUUGUCAUAGUGCCAAGUUGAUUGCAUGUAUUGUUAAUGAAUACUGUAAUAUGUUGAAAGUGUUUAAUAUCAGUGUAUAAUAUUAUUUUGGAAGAAAUUGAGAUCGAGAACCACUUUUGUUUUUGUAUGGAGGCAAAUGAUCGUUAUUAUUAUUAUUGUUAUUAUUAUUAUUAUUAUUAUUAUUUUACUAUUAUUAUUAUUAUUAUAG